rnacentral:rRNA from 1 species
UACGAAGGGGGCUAGCGUUGCUCGGAAUCACUGGGCGUAAAGCGCACGUAGGCGGCUUUCUAAGUCAGGGGUGAAAUCCUGGAGCUCAACUCCAGAACUGCCUUUGAUACUGGAGAGCUUGAGUCCGGGAGAGGUGAGUGGAACUCCGAGUGUAGAGGUGAAAUUCGUAGAUAUUCGCAAGAACACCAGUGGCGAAGGCGGCUCACUGGCCCGGUACUGACGCUGAGGUGCGAAAGCGUGGGGAGCAAACAGG